rnacentral:rRNA from 1 species
CCUACGGGUGGCAGCAGUGAGGAAUAUUGGUCAAUGGGCGGGAGCCUGAACCAGCCAAGUCGCGUGAGGGACGAAGGUACUAAGGAUUGUAAACCGCUUUUGUCGGGGAACAAAGGCGGGCACGGGUGGGCGGAUGAGUGGACCCGAAGAAAAAGCAUCGGCUAACUCCGUGCCAGCAGCCGCGGUAAGACGGAGGAGGCGAGCGUUAUCCGGAUUGAUUGGGGUUAAGGGGUGCGCAGGCGGCCAGUUAAGUCAGCGGUCAAACUGCGGGGCUCAACGCCGGCCGGCCGUUGAAAAUGGCAGUCUCGAGUGGGCGCGCAGUAUGCGGAAUGCGUGGUGUAGCGGUG